rnacentral:lncRNA from 1 species
UAUUCAUUUCAGGUGUACAAUAUAACAAUUCAGCAAGUCUCUACAGUACUUAGAGCUCAUCAUGAUAAGUGUAGUCAUUGAUCCCCAUCAUCUAUUUCGCCCAUCACCCCACCCACCUCACCUCUGGAGACCUAUCUAGAAAACCACUGCUAUAUCUGAUGUCAAGAAAAAUUGCUGCCUGU